UCGACGAGAAAUCCGCCUUCGGGCGGAGAGUAAAGUGGCGCCCGGGUGAGUAAUACCAGGGUAACCUACCUAAAAGAGGGGGAUAACCUGCCGAAAGGCGGGCUAAUACCCCAUGAUUUCCUGACUACCUAAGUAAUCAAGAACAAAGGUGGCCUCUAGUUUUUAAGCUACCACUUUUAGAUGGGCUCUGGUCCCAUUAGCUAGUUGGUAGGGUAAAGGCCUACCAAGGCCAUGAUGGGUAGCUGGUCUGAGAGGACGGCCAGCCACACUGGAACUGAAACACGGUCCAGACUCCUACGGGAGGCAGCAGUGGGGAAUUUUGCGCAAUGGGAGAAAUCCUGACGCAGCGACGCCGCGUGAGUGAUGAAGGCCUUCGGGUCGUAAAGCUCUGUCGGGUAGGAAGAAACUCCUGCCAACUAAUAAUUGGCAGGACUGACGGUACUACCAAAGGAAGCACCGGCCAACUCCGUGCCAGCAGCCGCGGUAAUACGGAGGGUGCAAGCGUUGUUCGGAAUUAUUGGGCGUAAAGAGCCUGUAGGCGGCAAGGUAAGUUAAGGGUGAAAUCCCUAGGCUCAACCUAGGAAGGGCCUUUAAAACUACCUUGCUUGAGUACGGGAGAGGAAGGUGGAAUUCCCGGUGUAGAGGUGAAAUUCGUAGAUAUCGGGAAGAACACCAGUGGCGAAGGCGGCCUUCUGGACCGUUACUGACGCUGAGAGGCGAAAGCGUGGGGAGCA
rnacentral:rRNA from 1 species